rnacentral:rRNA from 1 species
AUACGGAGGGUGCAAGCGUUAUUCGGAAUCACUGGGCGUAAAGGGUGCGUAGGCGGUUUGAUAAGUCUGAUGUGAAAUCCUAUGGCUCAACCAUAGAACUGCAUUGGAAACUGUCAGACUAGAAUACUGAAGGGGCAGAUGGAAUUAGUGGUGUAGGGGUAAAAUCCGUAGAUAUCACUAGGAAUACCGAAAGCGAAAGCGAUCUGCUGGGAAGUUAUUGACGCUGAGGCACGAAAGCGUGGGGAGCAAACAGGAUUAGAUACCCGAGUAGUCC